rnacentral:rRNA from 1 species
UACGUAGGGGGCAAGCGUUAUCCGGAUUUACUGGGUGUAAAGGGAGCGUAGACGGCAGUGCAAGUCUGGAGUGAAAGGCGGGGGCUCAACCCCCGGACUGCUCUGGAAACUGUACGGCUGGAGUGCAGGAGAGGUAAGUGGAAUUCCUAGUGUAGCGGUGAAAUGCGUAGAUAUUAGGAGGAACACCAGUGGCGAAGGUGGCUUACUGGACUGUAACUGACGUUGAGGCUCGAAAGCGUGGGGAGCAAACAGG